rnacentral:rRNA from 1 species
UACGUAGGUGGCAAGCGUUAUCCGGAUUUAUUGGGCGUAAAGGGAACGCAGGCGGUUUAUUAAGUCUGGUGUAAAAGGCAGUGGCUCAACCAUUGUAUGCAUUGGAAACUGGUAGACUUGAGUGCAGGAGAGGAGAGUGGAAUUCCAUGUGUAGCGGUGAAAUGCGUAGAUAUAUGGAGGAACACCGGUGGCGAAAGCGGCUCUCUGGCCUGUAACUGACACUGAGGCUCGAAAGCGUGGGGAGCAAACAGG